UACGAAGGGGGCUAGCGUUGCUCGGAAUCACUGGGCGUAAAGCGCACGUAGGCGGAUUGCUAAGUCAGGGGUGAAAUCCUGGAGCUCAACUCCAGAACUGCCUUUGAUACUGAAGAUCUUGAGUUCGGGAGAGGUGAGUGGAACUGCGAGUGUAGAGGUGAAAUUCGUAGAUAUUCGCAAGAACACCAGUGGCGAAGGCGGCUCACUGGCCCGAUACUGACGGCUGAGGC
rnacentral:rRNA from 1 species